UACAGAGGUCUCAAGCGUUGUUCGGAUUCAUUGGGCGUAAAGGGUGCGUAGGGGGCGCUGUAAGUCGGGUGUGAAAUUUCGGAGCUUAACUCCGAAACUGCAUUCGAUACUGCGGUGCUUGAGGACUGGAGAGGAGACUGGAAUUCCUGGUGUAGCGGUGGAAUGCGCAGAUAUCAGGAGGAACACCGGUGGCGAAGGCGGGUCUCUGGGCAGUAACUGACGCUGAGACGCGAAAGCGUGGGGAGCAAACAGG
rnacentral:rRNA from 1 species